GCAGCCCUGAGGACAAAAGGCAGGCCUGAGGGAAGCCUGUGCCCUCCUGAGGUUGCGUCGGAGCCCUUCCUUUGACGCAGAUGAAGAGUGCUGCACGCAGCAGGGCCGCGUGUCAGCAGGAGAAGCUGCCAAGCUCUCCCCGCCCAUCACACCCUGCCAGGGCCUGUCUGUAAGAUUGGUGUUUUGGAGGACCUCUGAGCAUUUCUGAAGAACUAAAGAAUUAUUCCUCACAGCAACCCAUAAGGUGGUCUUUGGUUCAGAGGGUGCUGUGAGGCCUCCAGGUGCUCUGAAAGACCCCUCUGACUGAACCUGGAGCUGGAGGAAGGCAGGCUUUAGCGGAGAGGAGAUCCAGGGAGGGGGGUGUCAUAACCUGUUGCUGCAG
rnacentral:lncRNA from 1 species